rnacentral:rRNA from 1 species
UACGGGGGGGGCAAGCGUUGUUCGGAAUUACUGGGCGUAAAGGGCGCGUAGGCGGCCCGCUAAGUCGAACGUGAAAUCCCCGGGCUCAACCCGGGAACUGCGUCCGAUACUGGCAGGCUUGAAUCCGGGAGAGGGAUGCGGAAUUCCAGGUGUAGCGGUGAAAUGCGUAGAUAUCUGGAGGAACACCGGUGGCGAAGGCGGCAUCCUGGACCGGCAUUGACGCUGAGGCGCGAAAGCCAGGGGAGCAAACGGG